AUUGAACGCUGGCGGCAGGCCUAACACAUGCAAGUCGAGCGGAUGAAGGGAGCUUGCUCCUGGAUUCAGCGGCGGACGGGUGAGUAAUUCCUAGGAAUCUGCCUGGUAGUUGGGGAUAACGUCCGGAAACGGGCGCUAAUACCGCAUACGUCCUGAUGGAGAAAGGGGGGGUUCUUCGGACCUCACGCUAUCAGAUGAGCCUAGGUCGGAUUAGCUAGUUGGUAGGGUAAAGGCCUACCAAGGCGACGAUCCGUAACUGGUCUGAGAGGAUGAUCAGUCACACUGGAACUGAGACACGGUCCAGACUCCUACGGGAGGCAGCAGUGGGGAAUAUUGGACAAUGGGCGAAAGCCUGAUCCAGCCAUGCCGCGUGUGUGAAGAAGGUCUUCGGAUUGUAAAGCACUUUAAGUUGGGAGGAAGGGCAGUAAGUUAAUACCUUGCUGUUUUGACGUUACCAACAGAAUAAGCACCGGCUAACUUCGUG
rnacentral:rRNA from 1 species